AUUUUAGGUUAUUAGUCUUAUUACCACGAUUAAAGAUAAUANAUAGUAUCUACUAUCUAUACUCUUUUAUUACUCUAUUAUUUAUAGCCGUGGUUAUUAUUUAUUGGUACAAAUUAUUAAUGUACAAUGGUACGCGUUUUUGCGUUAGUGAAAUCAUUGUAUCUGUUUUAAUGUUUAUUAAUUUUGUUUCCGGCCGGUUACUAUUUAGCCAUUUACUAUCGGCGAUACUUUAACUACACCACNACGUGCUGCUGCCGUAUCGAUUUCGGUUUUCUUGCCUCCAUAACUAGCGUGAACGCUCGUUGCGAAAUCGACACAAAAACUUGCUUGAUUGAGCGUGGGUGAGUGAUCUAUCAUGGCACGAUCAUGCUCAUCGUCUAGCGACACGUCGUCGCCAAAGUACGAGUUCUCCGAUUCGGAUUCCGAUCACAAGCGACGGGGCAACAAAAGCCGUCCGCGUCGUUUGCCGACCAGCAACAGUAAGAACGCUGUGGCCGCUCGCAUAAACCGCAUGAAACAGAAACAGUAUGUUAAGGACCUUGAGCAAAAGAUGUCGCAGCUCAAACGUGAGAUCAAGGGUGUAAAACGGGAGUUGAGGGAACGCGAGGAAAAAUGGGCUAGCAGCCGUCGACAGGUGGCCUAUUUGCGGAGUAUGUUAGCCAACAGCAAUCAAAUUGGCGGUUUGUUACGUAACAUACGCUGGAGGAAUAUCGUCCCACAAGGUAGUAAUAUCGACAAGACUCUAAAUGAGUUAAACUCUGACGCGAGUAUUGACCACUUUCCUAUUUCCACGAGCCAUAGUCUGUUUGAUGGUUAUUUUGGUUUAUUAGAGGAAAGAGACAGCGAUCAUCCCCACAUGGUGCCUCCGCCAGUUGCACCUCAAGAAGAUGAGGGCUGGGCACUUUUAGACGGUAUCAACCCUUCAACAACUGAGCUAUUCCAAGAAACCGUCCCAUCUAAAUAUGUGUCAGUGUGCACGUUGUUACCGUAGAAAGACGGUUGUGUGCAUAUCGGUGUCAUAAAUGAUCUUAUUAAUUGAAAGAAGCUGUGAUCUCGCAUGUACAAUUUUACAUGCCAAACCUCCAAAUUAGGCAUAAGGUAAGAAGUGUUUUUGAUUUGAUUAAUUAUCAAGUUUAACUAGUGUUUAGCAUUCAGCGUGACCAAUUUUCUUAUUAAGGACAGUGGAAAUUUGGUUAGUUUUAUUCAUUAAAAAAAAUACAAUAACACAUUUAAAGAAACAUGAAUAGUAACUAAUGAAAGUUAAAUAAUAUAAUUAAAGUAUUUUUCCACUGUCCUUAAUAUUUUAUUAUUGUUAUCAAUAUUAA
rnacentral:misc_RNA from 1 species